UAACAUCCAAAGGUCAUACGGCCUUGUCCUCUGCCCUUCAACGGAGACCUGACAGUGGACGAACCUCUCGUCUGUUCCCUCUCCACUCCAGCAUGCCAAGCUAAAGAACGAACACUGAACCACACCACUCACCUAUGACGUUGAUGCUGAAGAUCUCGGUCUCAUAACCCAGGUCAUUGGUAACAUUCACCUGGUAUAGGCCUGUAUCAUUGGGCGUAAGGUUAACCAGCAGGAAGUUCCCAUCCGGGGAGUAGAGCUCUGUGCCAUUAUCCAGUUUCCUUAAAACCACAGCAGGUGGGGGGAAACUGACAGAGCGACAGCAGAUGGUGACAUUUUGGCCUUCCUGCACCUCAGCAGAUGGAUAUAUCAGGACUGUUGUGUUCCUAGGAGGUGCUGGACACAAGAAAAAUAGAACACACAUCAAUACUGAGGGAAGACACUUGAGACUGCCUUGGGACAACAAAGGAAUAAAUUGUAUGAAUAUAGUACAGUUAUAGUCUGAAAUACUGUACGACAUGUAGUCCAUUGGCAGUUUACAAUGCAACAUACAAUAUUUAUACAAAAGUACGUGGACACCCCACCGUCAUAGGAUGCCACAUUUCCAACAAGUCAGUUCGUCAAAUUUCUGCCCUGCUAGAGCUGUCCCGGUCAUCUGGUAAGUGCUGUUAUUGUGACGUGGAAAUGUCUAGGGGCAACAAAGGCUCAGCCACGAAGUGGUAGGCCACAUAAGCUCACAGAACGGGACCGCAGAGUGCUGCGAUAGAAAUCGUCUGUCCUCGGUUGCAACACUCACUACCAAGUUCUAAACUGCCUCUGGAUGCAACGUCAGCACAAGAACUGUUCGUCAGGAGCUUCAUGAAAUGGGUUUCCAUGGCCGAGCAGCUACACACAAGCCAAAGAUCACCAUGCGCAAUGCCAAGCAUCGUUUUGUUUUUCAUGGUUCGGGCUAGGCCCCUUAGUUCCAGUGAAGGGAAAUCUUAACGCAACAGCAUACAAUUAUAUUCGAAACGAUUCUGUGCUUUCAACUUUGUGGCAACGGUUUGGGGUGGGCGCUUUCCUGUUUCAGCAUGACAAUGUCCCCGUUCACAAAGGUGAGGCGAGGUCCAUACAGAAAUGGUUUGUCAAAAUCAGUGUGGAAGAACUUGACUGGCCUGUACAGAGCCCUGACCUCAACCCCAUCGAACCCCUUUGGGAUGAAUUGUAACGCCGACUGCAAGCCAGGCCUAAUCGCACAACAUCACUGCCCGACCUCACUAAUGUUCUUGUGGCUGAAUGGAAGCAAGUGCCCAGAGCUAUGUUCCAACAUCUAGUGGAAAGCCUUCCCUGAAUAGUGGAGGCUGUUAUAGCAGCAAAAGGGGGACCAACUCCAUAUUAAUGCCCAUGAUUUUGGAAUGAGAUUUUCGUACUAUUACUGUCUGUUAUAUUGUUGAUUACUGACCAAAAUGUGUGAAACUACUGACAACCGUGUGUGAAAUAUCAAUGAGGCAUAGAAUCCAUUAUCUAGAAUGACUUUAUGUCAUUUCAUGUUGUUGAGUUCCUGUGCAGUGUUAAGUGUGGUAUAAGUGUGAUAUUCUAUUUUGGUACAGUGUGACAACAGCUCAGCCAAUGACGAACUUAUACAGCAUGUUCUUAGAUACUGACAGCUCCCCAGGGGUGGAAAAAGUACUCAAUUGUCAUACAUGAGUAAAAGUAAAGAUACCUUAACAGAAAAUGACUCAAGUAAAAGUCACCCAGUAAAAUACUACUUGAGUAAAAGUCUAAAAGUAUUUGGUUUUAAACAUACUUAAGUAUCAAACGUAAAGGUAUAAAUCAUUUCAAAUUUCUUAUAUUAAGAAAAACUUAAUUUUCUGUCUUAUUUUUAAAAUAAUUUACAAACAAAGCAUUUGUGUUUAGUGAGUCCACCAGAUCAGAGGCAGUAGGGAUGACCAGGGAUGUUCUCUUGAUAAGUGUGUGAAUUGGACAAUUAAAAUGUAAAAAGUACAUUAUUUUCUUUAGGAAUGUAGAGAAGAAAAAUAUAAAUAGUAAAGUACAGAUACCAAAGAAAGUACUUAAAUACUUUACACCACUGCAGCUGCCACAUGACGAUAGAACGGCCACACUCCAACAAAUGAGAUCAAAUACAAGACUGUAAACAAGAGAUCUGUGGGUGUAGAGAACAGUAACUUCAUUGAAGAAGCAAAAAAAGCUAAUCAGGGUUAGGGAAAGUUUACUGUUGUUGCCAGUAUGAAUGCGUGGAAGCGGAAUAAAGACGUGAUGUGCUGUGUUCUUGCCAGAAGCCUGGCACCCACCUUUGACUGUAAUGUGUGUGCUAGCUCGCUGGCUACCGUGCUCAUUGAAGGCCUCACACUGGUAGAGAGCAGAGUCUGCUAGCAGGGCAGAGGAGAGGGUGAAGGAGGUGGAGGAGCCAUUGCUGGACUGGAGUUCUAUAUCCUGGCCCUCAGAGAGUCUCUUCAGCACCAUACGUCCCACUGGAACUCCGUCCGACAGGCAGGACACCGUCACGCUCUCCCCUUCCUUCACCGCACUGGCUGGGCUCACUGUGAUAGUGGUGUUGGUUGGGGGAGCUGCCAGAAGGGAAAUCAUCCAGGAUAGAGAACACAAGACAAAACUUUAGCUUGCUAGUUUAGACAUUGCUUUAUUGAGAUUGCUCCUCCAAACAGACUUUUUAGACAAAGCUAUAAAGAUUACUCCUAACUAUUAAACUAUCACAGAGUGACACCAAACAGUAAUGAUCCAAAAUACAGAACCAAGGGGAAAUUCAAAGUCAUCCUACCUUGAACAAUGACGUUCACGCUGGCUGUGAUGUUUCCAAUGGUGUUGCUCACCACACACUCAUAUUGACCAGAAUCCACCAGUGUCAUCUCUGUAAGAACAAGCUCCUCGCUCUGCCCCACAAUAACAGCCUGUCCAUCUGGACCAAUGGCCUUCCACUGUGUAUCUGGUCUGGGGUUCCCUUCAGCAUGGCAUGACAACGUGAGACUGGAGCCAACUCUCACAGCAGUCGGCUCAGAUAUUAAUAUAUUCUGUGGCGCAUCUGGAGAAAAUAAAGAAUACAUUUUUGA